rnacentral:rRNA from 1 species
CGCAACGCGCAGAACCUUWCCAGCCCUUGACAUGUCCAGGWCCGGUCGCAGAGAUGUGACCCUCUYUUYGGAGCCUGGAGCACAGGUGCUGCAUGGCUGUCGUCAGCUYGUGUCGUGAGAUGUUGGGUUAAGUCCCGCAACGAGCGCAACCCCCGUCCUUAGUUGCUACCAUUUAGUUGAGCACUCUAAGGAGACUGCCGGUGAUAAGCCGCGAGGAAGGUGGGGAUGACGUCAAGUCCUCAUGGCCCUUACGGGCUGGGCUACACACGUGCUACAAUGGCGGUGACAAUGGGAUGCUAAGGGGCGACCCUUCGCAAAUCUYAAAAAGCCGUCUCAGUUYGGAUUGGGYUYUGCAACUCGAGCCCAUGAAGUUGGAAUCGCUAGUAAUCGUGGAUCAGCACGCCACGGUGAAUACGUUCCCGGGCCUUGUACACACCGCCCGUCACACCAUGGGAGUUGGUUUUACCUKAAGACGGUGCGCUAACCCGCAAKUGAGRCAGCCGACCACGRRWAWGGUAYRWUCA